rnacentral:rRNA from 1 species
CCUACGGCAGCAGUGAGGAAUAUUGGUCAAUGGGCGGGAGCCUGAACCAGCCAAGUCGCGUGCGGGAUGACGGCCCUAUGGGUUGUAAACCUCUUUUGCCGGGGAGCAAAGUGCCGCACGUGUGCGGUUUGGAGAGUACCCGGAGAAAAAGCAUCGGCUAACUCCGUGCGAGCAGCCGCGGUAAUACGGAGGAUGCGAGCGUUAUCCGGAUUUAUUGGGUUUAAAGGGUGCGUAGGCGGACGCUUAAGUCAGCGGUAAAAUUGCGGGGCUCAACCUCGUCGAGCCGUUGAAGCUGGCAGUCUCGG